rnacentral:rRNA from 1 species
UACGUAGGGGGCAAGCGUUGUCCGGAAUUACUGGGCGUAAAGCGCACGUAGGCGGCUUUCUAAGUCGGGGGUGAAAUCCUGGAGCUCAACUCCAGAACUGCCUUCGAUACUGGAGAGCUUGAGUCCGGGAGAGGUGAGUGGAACUGCGAGUGUAGAGGUGAAAUUCGUAGAUAUUCGCAAGAACACCAGUGGCGAAGGCGGCUCACUGGCCCGGUACUGACGCUGAGGUGCGAAAGCGUGGGGAGCAAACAGGG